CCAGCAAUCAAGCAAUACACUUUUUGUUUUACUACCAUCUCUCUGCUGUGUUUGUGUUUUGCAAUUUGGGUCCCAAUCCCAUCGGUUGAGUCAGUGUGGAGGUAUGUUGCUGUGGACCAAUGUGUAAGUCAGCAGGAUGGAUUGACAGGCCUCCUCUCAGAAGGCAGCGGGAGCAGCAGGGGGCUACAGAGCAUGAGGGGCUGCAAGCUGGGAGGAGGCAUGGUGUAGUAGUAGUGACUGUCGACAGGGAGACGGAUGACUCCGUCAGUACAGCGCUGCUGAAAGUGCACUUGUUCUUCAGUUUUAUCACUGUUGCUUGGGGCCUGUUCACACCUGGCAUCAGAAUGUGUCACCACAUGUUUCUAUGAGACCCACUUCUAUGCUGUGAAUGCAAAUCAACCUGUGCAUGCAUUUCUGUUUACAAAAAACUAAAUGUAUUGUUAGAUGUUAGGCUACAAUGUACUUCCUGUGCCCAGCCUGCUUGAAAGUAAAAGAAGAAAUCGAAACAACGAAACUAGUUUGAUUCCAGUUUCACUCUGUUCCAGUUCGGCGGUUUGAUCCCCGUCUCCCCCAUUCCGUGUGCUGAGGUGUUUAUUGGUCAAGAUACUCAACCCCAAAUCGACGGCUGUGCUGGCAUGUAUGAGCGAUGUAAAAUGGAGAAAGUUCGGCACAGUGUGAAUGGAAAAACUGUACUGUAAAGUAUAUUGAGGGUCCAUCAAGAUGAGAAAAUUGAAGUGAAGGCUGCCACAGUGAAUGGGAGUGAAUGUAGCUCCGGCUCUCUGCUGCAUCCUGAGGCCCUGCUGAGGCAGACAGGAGACUGCCAGUGUCUCAUCAUCACGCAGCUUCAACAGGACCCUCUGUCUUUGUUUGUCUGGACGGGACAAGACAGGGAUGACAAGACGUCAGCCAUAACGGCCUCGUCUGUAGUUUUCUCCUGCAGUCUGUGGUCGGCAGAGGGGAAGUGCAGAGGAAGUACGGAGGUGGACGAGAAGCAUUACACUGAACUUUCGUUAGUCACCAAACAGCCUGUUGCCCACAUGUCUACAGUGGUACCGGAAUCAGCAGAAUGUUCAUCCCCUUUAAAAUCACAUUUAGUCCAUAGUGCAGCGGUUUUUAAAGAUAUUGUGUUUUAUCACUCAUUUCUCUUUUAAUUUUAUUGUGAAUAUUGUAAACCUACUACAGCUGUCUCUGUCUACAUAUUAUUGCAUGACUAUUUCAGUGUAUUUUUCUUUUUAAUUUAACUUGUUGUUUAUUUAUGUGG